AGCUGUGCGAUGGCGGUGUCGGGUCAAAUGGCCAGCCCCGUCCAAGAACUCAGCCUCUCUUUUCCUUAUGUCAUAUGGGUGACGCAUUUUCUUGGUGAUGAGCCAGUAGGAAAUGUUGAUGCUCAGCCCCCAUAGGGAGCAUCUGUUACCUAUUGCAGCUUACAGCGGAAACGUGGAAACAAGCCGUAUCUGGGGGUCAGAGACCUAGGCCCAUCUUCCCUGGCUGUCUCUGGCCCCCAGGUCUCUCUCUGGUUUCAGUGAAGCUAGGGCUGCAGUGGUCCCAACACUGGGCUGGGACUGAGAAACCUACUUCGAAGUUCAUUCCAGUGGUGCUUCCAUUCCUGAGAGCUGUUGGACCCCUGGUCUCUCAGUUCCUGGCUAAUCUAUCAUCCUUAGCAGUGACUACCAAAUGGCCGGCACAAGGGACCCAAGAUAGAGGAUGUGUCCCAAAGGAAACGAGUCUCCGUAUAAAUCAGAUAAUCUCAGAUGGACAUCCCAACACACCCACUACAAGUGCCACUGGCCCUCUGAUUUCCAUCAAGAAUUGAAGCAGCAAGGAGACCCUCACCAGAGGCGGCAACCUGAUAUAUAGGACUCCCUGGCCUCCAUAGGAACUCAACAAAGAACAGAGGUUUGUUGAGUUCCCUGGUCUCAGGCACUGUGUUAUAGCAACAGGAAACAAACAGAGACGCUGAUGCAGUACCACCACUUGCAGCAACACCCCAGUAGUUGUCCACUUGUGCACACAUCCAACUGCUGAGAUCUUAGUCCAGGCCCCAUUGUAACAAGUUACCAUAUACUGGGUGGCUUAAACAACAAACAUUUACUUCUCACCACUCUGGAGGCUGAGAAAUUCAAGAUUAGGAUGCUGGCAGAUUCAGCAUCCACUGAAGAUCUACUUCCAGGUGUGCAGAUGGCUGUGUUCUUGAUGUA